rnacentral:lncRNA from 13 species
CUUUUCCUCUACCCCAGAUGAAAACUCAUCAAGCCAAUGACUUGUCUUUGCUCACUUUUAGCUUAGAGAUAGUCUUCACUGAGGCACAGAGCAUGUUCUCUUAGUUAGAAAAGUGUCUUACUCAAAACACUAACCCACACUUCGUUCUCCGUUAUCCUCCUUGAUAAAGCCUACAGGUGGGCAGCUAGCCUUCAGGGAGGGACAGCCACUUCCAGUCUCUUCCUCCACCAGUCUCCUCCCCAUUCACUAGCUGCUGUUUGGGAGCCUGCCAGGGUUUGAAGGAGGUGGGCAGGGUGCGGAUUAAAGGGGAGAGGUGAAGGAUAGGGUGGUUCUUACCUGAAUGGAUGCGCUGGUGAAAGUGGACUCUGAUGGGCAUCUCCAUGGUUCUUUGGGAAUUCCCAAACUGGGGCUCCCCAAAUCUAAGCUUCCCACUACUCUCCUGCUGAAUGAGGCUCUCCUUCAGCAGACCACACUAUGCCUAGGAGGUCCUCUUGGACAAGUCUCAAAAUGGAUCCACGUGACCUACAGGUCAUCCAUAGGGGAAAGUUACAGAGCCUUUGCUCCAUCUUUGGAUGGAGCAGUCUUUCUUCGGGCAGCCUCUGCUCCUCUAUCCCACACAGAUCACUUAAUGUUCCUAGCAGCAAGGCAAGCCCCAAGCCUAGAGUCCCCAGCUUCAAGGAACACAUCCCUACCUGUGCAGGCUGCCCUGUUACAGGAGGUCUCUCUCUCCCUCUCAUUCUCCUCUGUCACUCUCAUUUUUUGUUUUGUUUUGUUUUGAUAGAUAUGGAGUCUCACUAUGUUGCCCAGGCUGGUCUGAAACUCCUGGCCUUCAGGGAUCCUCCUGCCCUGGCCUCCCAAAAUGCUGGGAUUAAAGGAACACCCACGGUGCUUCAGGCUGCAGCAGCGCACACCACUUUUGUGACAUUGGCUCCAGGCUAUUUUCUGUGAGUUCAUCUUAGGAAGACACCGCUUGCCCGGGUUCAAGAGGGCAGAUCCACAGCGGAUCUCCAGUGGAGUGCAGACUCACAGGGGUCAAGUUAGAUCCUGUUCUCUGAUCACAGCCCCCCAACACUCCUUGCCCCUCCCACCCUACCUAAGUGAGCAGUUAGCGGCCUCCUCACAUAGCUCCUGGCAGAGUCCAUGUCCCUCUUUCCUACACCGCAACCCGUGGACUCCAGCCUGGCCGCCAGUGCAUUCAGAGCAGCCUCAUCAGAGCCGCAGGCUGAGGUUAAACCUGCCAAGCUGGUACCGGACAGGGGUCCCCAUCCAGACCCCAAGAGCAGGUUUUGGAUCUCACGCAAUAAAGAAUUCCUGGAGAGUCCGCA